GAGUUUGAUCGUGGCUCAGAUUGAACGCUGGCGGCAGGCUUAACACAUGCAAGUCGAGCGGGGGAGAUUGCUUCGGUAAUUGACCUAGCGGCGGACGGGUGAGUAAUACUUAGGAAUCUGCCUAUUAAUGGGGGACAACAUCUCGAAAGGGAUGCUAAUACCGCAUACGCCCUACGGGGAAAGCAGGGGAUCACUUGUGACCUUGCGUUAAUAGAUGGGCCUAAGUCGGAUUAGCUAGUUGGUGGGUAAAGG
rnacentral:rRNA from 1 species